CACAAUCAUCCGGCUAAAUAUCGGCUCCGAGAUUUUGCAGGGAGUAGUACAUCUCGCGCACCCAUUAUUACCGAAGCAACUGCUAAAUCCAAUUGAAGGAGGAUUCAUUGUUCGUGUUCAUCGAGUACUUGAGGAGUUUGAAACAUGAGUUCAAGCACUUGUUACAAGUGUAACCAGAUAGGGCACUUUGCACGAGAGUGUCCACAAGGCGGUGGUGGUGGAGGCGGCGGUGGUGGUAGAAGUGACCGUGGAUAUGACCAUGGAGGCGGUUAUGGACGCGAUCGUGACAAAUGCUACAAGUGCAACCAAUUUGGACACUAUGCACGUGACUGCAAAGAGGUUCAGGAUGUUUGCUACCGUUGUAACGGUGUUGGACACAUCGCAAAAGAUUGCAAACAGAUAAAGUGAUAUUCCUUCGUUCACCUUCAGAUAUUAACAAAAUAUCUAAUCUAUAUUAUUAUAAAAUUCUGAUAACACACACCACACCAUGAACAUUUUGGUAUUGUUCCCCUUGAAGCAUUGAAUACAAGUAAACCAGUGACUGCCCAUAACUCAGAUGGUCGAAAAGAAUUUGUGAUUUUUGGAAUAACUGGAUUUUUAGUUGAUGUAUCAGAUGCAGUUGCUUAAAAACUAGUUUAUUUGAGAAUCCAGCUCUCAUGAACGAAUUUGGUAUUUCGGGUAAAGACAGAUUUUUAUAAAAACGUUUAGUUUUAUUCCAUUUAGUACUCAGUUAAAUAAAGCAUUUGAAGACUUAAUUAGCAAUAGGAGAAAAUAAUGAAAUUACAGCAGCUGAACUUUUGUACAUUACAAGUGAAGGUUUGUCUUGUUACAUUGUAAUUAUAUUUUUUAUAUCAAGCAAAUAUAUGGUAAUUGU